UUUCUUUUGGCAGGACAUAUACUAAAUUUGGAACAAUACAGAGAAGAUCAGCAUGACCUCUGUACAAAGAUGAUACACAAAUUCAUGAAGUGUUUCACACUAUG